CCUACGGGUGGCAGCAGUAGGGAAUAUUGCUCAAUGGGGGAAACCCUGAAGCAGCAACGCCGCGUGGAUGAUGACGGCCCUACGGGUUGUAAACUUCUUUUGUCAGGGAGCAAUUGAGUCCACGUGUGGGCUUAGCGAGAGUACCUGAAGAAAAAGCAUCGGCUAACUCCGUCCCAGCAGCCGCGGUAAUACGGAGGAUGCGAGCGUUAUCCGGAUUUAGUGGGGUUAAAGGGUGCGUAGGCGGAAUAUCAAGUCAGCGGUAAAAAUUCGGGGCUCAACCCCGUCGUGCCGUUGAAACUGAUGUUCUUGAGUGGGCGAGAAGUAUGUGGAAUGCGUGGUGUAGCGGUGAAAUGCAUAGAUAUCACGCAGAACUCCGAUUGCGAAGGCAGCAUACCGGCGCCCAACUGACGCUGAAGCACGAAAGCGUGGGUAUCGAACAGGAUUAGAUACCCCAGUAGUC
rnacentral:rRNA from 1 species